AUGAACGCUGGCGGCGUGCCUAAUACAUGCAAGUCGAGCGAACGGACGAGAAGCUUGCUUCUCUGAUGUUAGCGGCGGACGGGUGAGUAACACGUGGAUAACCUACCUAUAAGACUGGGAUAACUUCGGGAAACCGGAGCUAAUACCGGAUGAUAUUUUGAACCGCAUGGUUCAAAAGUGAAAGACGGUCUUGCUGUCACUUAUAGAUGGAUCCGCGCUGCAUUAGCUAGUUGGUAAGGUAACGGCUUACCAGGGCAACGAUGCAUAGCCGACCUGAGAGGGUGAUCGGCCACACUGGAACUGAGACACGGUCCAGACUCCUACGGGAGGCAGCAGUAGGGAAUCUUCCACAAUGGGCGAAAGCCUGACGGAGCAACGCCGCGUGAGUGAUGAAGGUCUUCGGAUCGUAAAACUCUGUUAUUAGGGAAGAACAUAUGUGUAAGUAACUGUGCACAUCUUGACGGUACCUAAUCAGAAAGCCACGGCUAACUACGUG
rnacentral:rRNA from 1 species